UAUGAGAGUUUGAUCCUGGCUCAGGACGAACGCUGGCGGCGUGCCUAAUACAUGCAAGUCGAACGCUUCUUUUCCCACCGGAGCUUGCUCCACCGGGAAAAGAGGAGUGGCGAACGGGUGAGUAACACGUGGGUAACCUGCCCAUCAGAAGGGGAUAACACUUGGAAACAGGUGCUAAUACCGUAUAACAAUCGAAACCGCAUGGUUUCAAUUUGAAAGGCGCUUUACGGUGCCGCUGAUGGAUGGACCCGCGGUGCAUUAGCUAGUUGGUGAGGUAACGGCUCACCAAGGCAACGAUGCAUAGCCGACCUGAGAGGGUGAUCGGCCACAUUGGGACUGAGACACGGCCCAAACUCCUACGGGAGGCAGCAGUAGGGAAUCUUCGGCAAUGGACGAAAGUCUGACCGAGCAACGCCGCGUGAGUGAAGAAGGUUUUCGGAUCGUAAAACUCUGUUGUUAGAGAAGAACAAGGGUGAGAGUAACUGUUCACCCCUUGACGGUAUCUAACCAGAAAGCCACGGCUAACUACGUGCCAGCAGCCGCGGUAAUACGUAGGUGGCAAGCGUUGUCCGGAUUUAUUGGGCGUAAAGCGAGCGCAGGCGGUUUCUUAAGUCUGAUGUGAAAGCCCCCGGCUCAACCGGGGAGGGUCAUUGGAAACUGGGAGACUUGAGUGCAGAAGAGGAGAGUGGAAUUCCAUGUGUAGCGGUGAAAUGCGUAGAUAUAUGGAGGAACACCAGUGGCGAAGGCGGCUCUCUGGUCUGUAACUGACGCUGAGGCUCGAAAGCGUGGGGAGCAAACAGGAUUAGAUACCCUGGUAGUCCACGCCGUAAACGAUGAGUGCUAAGUGUUGGAGGGUUUCCGCCCUUCAGUGCUGCAGCUAACGCAUUAAGCACUCCGCCUGGGGAGUACGACCGCAAGGUUGAAACUCAAAGGAAUUGACGGGGGCCCGCACAAGCGGUGGAGCAUGUGGUUUAAUUCGAAGCAACGCGAAGAACCUUACCAGGUCUUGACAUCCUUUGACCACUCUAGAGAUAGAGCUUCCCCUUCGGGGGCAAAGUGACAGGUGGUGCAUGGUUGUCGUCAGCUCGUGUCGUGAGAUGUUGGGUUAAGUCCCGCAACGAGCGCAACCCUUAUUGUUAGUUGCCAUCAUUUAGUUGGGCACUCUAGCAAGACUGCCGGUGACAAACCGGAGGAAGGUGGGGAUGACGUCAAAUCAUCAUGCCCCUUAUGACCUGGGCUACACACGUGCUACAAUGGGAAGUACAACGAGUCGCAAAGUCGCGAGGCUAAGCUAAUCUCUUAAAGCUUCUCUCAGUUCGGAUUGUAGGCUGCAACUCGCCUACAUGAAGCCGGAAUCGCUAGUAAUCGCGGAUCAGCACGCCGCGGUGAAUACGUUCCCGGGCCUUGUACACACCGCCCGUCACACCACGAGAGUUUGUAACACCCGAAGUCGGUGAGGUAACCUUUUGGAGCCAGCCGCCUAAGGUGGGAUAGAUGAUUGGGGUGAAGUCGUAACAAGGUAGCCGUAUCGGAAGGUGCGGCUGGAUCACCUCCUUUCUAAGGAA
rnacentral:rRNA from 1 species